UGGUUUGUAAUCUGUCUACACUGUGGUUGACCUCUAGUGUUAGUUGUACUUGAAAUACAGAUAUUUGUUGGAUUUUAUGGAGACAGCAUGAGAGCUGAGCUCUUUAGGGCAGUCAUCUUGUUGACACUCGGAGUUACAGAGGAGGAUGAGAGUGGAGAUGCCACAAAAAGCAGCUUUUGAGAGAGGUUCUCCUGAAGAUGAGAACUUGUGAAGGGGCUCCUUCGUGGCCCAAGUCCAUUCACUGUCAUAUGUCUGCUAGUGUGUGAUGUUUGGGAGAAGCUGGAAGUGAAAAAUAAUCAUCUGAAGUUGGGAUUUUUCUUAAUACAUUGUAAUCUGUUCCAGUUAACUAAAACAUACUGCAUUUUCAGGAGGGGAUAUUUCUGUGUCUAAUUCUAUGAAAAUUGAAAGGAAGUUCUCUUAUCUUCUUUGCAAUCUCAAGUGUGUAUUUCUAGGUAUUUGAGCAAGUGAAGUAAAAUAACGGCUUUAAAUUGUAAUUUCUUGCUUUCUGGAUAAUUUAGAUAACCUUUGAUAAGCUACCCUAGAAAAAUGUACAGCUACUUUCUCAUCUUGUAGAAAAGGAAGUUUUCAAGAUAAUUUUCAGAUUUAUUUUGUUUAAGUUGAUAUAGAUAUAUAGACAGAAUACAAGGAAGGUCCAAAAGUGGAAAAAAUGGUUAGAUGAACUGUGCAGCUGAACUGUACCUCCACUGCACUGUAUUAUGGCAGCGGAAGGCAGUUACUAACAUACUGUUUAAUAGGAGGGGAAAAACUUCUCUUGUUGGGUGUCAUUCAGUAAGGUGCAGUUGCAAGAAACAGUUUGUCAUUUGAUCCCUAUGUGCUCUCCAUAUUUCAUGUAUAAUGCAGGGUAUGAUUUAAGAGUAUUUUAUAGCUAUUGCUUCAAAGAAACUGCUUGCUAAUGCAUAUUGAGCUCUUUUUAUUAAAAAAAAAAAAGUAAUAAUAAAAACGUAUGUGGAGAUGAC
ensembl:lncRNA